AAGAAGCCCGGAAGUCAACCAUCUGUCCUAACAAGAAGUCAAAAUCUGAGCAAUCAACAACUCUUCUUGUUCCCUAAGAGAUGUGAGGUCCCAGGGCAAACUGCUACCUCCAAAACUGGAGAGACAGCCAGAGACAGAGUAUAACCUACUGGAGCAGAAACCGCCAUGGGAACUACCAGGGGUGUAGGGACUCCAGACCUGUAACUGAUGAGUUGCUGGAGGCUGAGUGCGGACAAAUCUGAGAGAGAACAAUUCCAGAGGAAUCCGGUCAUCAGGAACGCCAUACUUUUGAGGAAAACGAGCGGCACGCUUGAAAAGUCACAGACGUGUGUCAGGUUGCGCAAGCAAGAACACAUGUGGAAACAGCGAGUCAGCCUUCGCUCCCAUCAGCCUUCGCUCCUGCAGGGAGUCUGGUUGUUUCCUGAGUCCCGGGGUCAUUCUGGCCUCAAUCUGGUGAUCCCGGCUCACCAAUAAACCCAUUCUCAUCGUC